GAAGACGUGGCUUUCGUCAUCUCCUACACUUUAGUAUUCUUUUGACAAACGGCAAGAAAGCCUCCCACUUAAAUUUCACACCAAUCUGACCUAGAAAACAGGAUCCGUUCAUUUUCAAGUGUCCUAUGGAGCUUAGUCAUGAUCUCUUCCUCAUAAGUCUGCAGCGAACGGCGUCUCCCCCAGAGGAAUGUUGGCCUUCCAUUCACUUCUUUGCAGAGGAGUCACUCGUUUCCGAGUGUGGGUCCGCCGGAGCUGACCAUCUUACCCAGAGUUCCGCUGUUUGGUGCUGAUCUCUCUCCCUCGUGAGUCUGCAACGAAAUGCAAUAGCAUCUCCUCCACUGAAAUGUUGAGCGUCCAUUCAGACUUACUUGCAGAGAGGUAAGGACAGGAGAACCAGCCACAGCGCCUCUCAGCAUAUUCCCCAGGACCCGCCUCGGUGGAUUCCUUCGUCAAUGCCCCGAUGACUUCGAAGCCAGGCUCCGACAUUCUUCGUGGAAACCGAGUAUAAGCCUUCGUUGCUCCUCGUCGCGUUUGGAGAGGA